ACAGUAGCUCAAUGGUAGAGCAUCUGCUUUGCAUGUAGGGGGUCCAUGGUUCAAUCCCCAGCAUCUCUU